UCCCUGGUGGGCUAGUGGUUAGCUUGCAGUGCUCUCAUUGCCGGGCCUGGGUUUGAUUCCCGGGCAGGGAA